rnacentral:rRNA from 1 species
AUACGGAGGAUGCGAGCGUUAUCCGGAUUUAUUGGGUUUAAAGGGAGCGUAGGUGGGAUAUUAAGUCAGCUGUGAAAGUUUGGGGCUCAACCUUAAAAUUGCAGUUGAUACUGGUUUCCUUGAGUACGGUAUAGGUGGGCGGAAUUCGUGGUGUAGCGGUGAAAUGCUUAGAUAUCACGAAGAACUCCGAUCGCGAAGGCAGCUCACCGGGCCGGAACUGACACUGAUGCUCGAAAGUGCGGGUAUCAAACAGGAUUAGAUACCCUGGUAGUCCGCACAGUAAACGAUGAAUACUCGCUGUUUGCGAUACACGGUAAGCGGCCAAGCGAAAGCGUUAAGUAUUCCACCUGGGGAGUACGCCGGCAACGGUGAAACUCAAAUGAAUUGACGGGG